rnacentral:rRNA from 1 species
UACGGAGGGGGCUAGCGUUGUUCGGCAUUACUGGGCGUAAAGCGCACGUGGGCGGAUUGUUAAGUCGGGGGUGAAAUCCCGGGGCUCAACCCCGGAAUGGCCUCCGAUACUGGCAAUCUUGAGGUCGGGAGAGGUGAGUGGAAUGGCGAGUAUAGAGGUGAAAUUCGUAGAUAUUCGCCGGAACACCAGUGGCGAAGGCGGCUCACUGGCCCGAUACUGACGCUGAGGUGCGACAGCGUGGGGAGCAAACAGG